CCCGCUUUCCCCUCAAAGUUUGGGGCGGCCUGGGAGGGCGGGCGGCGCCUUAGGGGGCCGGAGCCAACUUGUCCCGGCUGCCUUUAUUUGCAGUUGGAGCCGAAAUCUGCCAGGCUGCGUUUAUUUUGCUGAUUAAAGAGACGGACCUUGGUCUCGGCUGCUGCUCCCCGCUGCGCGGCCGCCCUGCUCGCUCCUCUCAUCCCCUUUCUCCUUCCCUUUCUUCCUCCUGGCCGCACCAUGGAGUUUACCGAGAGGAAGAGAAGCAGGAAAUCCCAAAGCUUUAAACUGAUAAAUCAAGAUUACCAUCAUGAGAUAUAUAAGAUCUCUGACUACAGCAAUGAUGUUAAUGGGGAGACCAAAGAAACACAACCCGUUUUUUUAGGAGAUGAAAGCCGGGAAAUUAAAAAACAAAUUACAGGGAUGAGAAGAUUACUGAAUGACAGCACUGGAAGAAUCUAUCAGCGAGUUGGCAAAGAAGGAGAAAAACUGAAGGAGGAGCCCCAGGAUUUAGACUUAGCCUGGGCCCAGCGCCUGAAUCCCCCUGCAGAGUCCCAAGCGAGCCUUCAUCCUUCCCAGAGCGGUGCGUGGAAUGAAUUGUCACCCCAAGCCAGCCAUUUUUCAGGGCAAUACGGAACUCGAUCCAAAACGUUCCAAAAUCAAACGCGAGCCGUGACAUCCAAUGGAGAAAUCCCAAUGGUGAACUCAUCAAUUGGACCAAACUGCUGUACGUGCAAUUGCCAGUCAACUCUACAGGCUAUUCUUCAAGAGCUCAAGACCAUGAGGAAAUUGAUGCAGAUUCAAGCAGUUGGAACUCAAAACAGACAGCAGCCUCCUGUUCCUCUGAUUUGUGCGCAAAAGUCGACAAUAUCAAGAAAGAGAAAUAAAAAGAAAAAACUACCCCUCAAAACUGUUGAACCAAUUACCAUGAAUAAGAAAACCAGCACUGCAGAGAAUGAAAAGAAGCUGUCAGCAAACUCUGAAAGAUCAAAUCUGCAAGCAGUCGAACCCCCCCUAAGUUCAGAAACCCCUGUUUCAGGAUUUGGAAUUAUCCUUGAAUCAACUUCAUCAGAUCCAGAAGUGCAACUUGCAGAAGGCUUUGAUGUCUUCAUGCCGAAAUCUCAGCUGGACUCUAUAUUAUCAAACUAUACUCGCUCAGGAAGUCUGCUCUUUAGGAAGCUGGUCUGUGCAUUUUUUGAUGACAAGACUUUGGCUAACUCUUUACCAAAUGGCAAAAGGAAAAGAGGGCUCAAUGACAACCGAAAAGGACUAGACCAAAAUAUUGUGGGUGCAAUAAAAGUCUUCACAGAAAAAUACUGCACUGCUAACCAUGUGGAUAAACUUCCUGGUCCUAGGGACUGGGUCCAGAUCCUUCAGGAUCAAAUUAAACUGGCAAGAAGACGAUUAAAAAGAGGCUCAGCAGAGGCAACUGACUGUGAUGAGAAGCCGGACAUUUCUUUACUACAAACAGGCAGUUCAUUAAUAAGUGCCCUGGUGGUAGGAACAGAGUUCCCAUCCUCCCAAAACUGCGUGGAGCCAGAGUGUGGGGAGGUGGCCAUUCCCCUGUAAUUUCACAAGGAUGCAGCCUAACACCGCCGAAGCCAAAGGAAAAGGAGGGAUGCUACAAUAGAUGCUACGGAUGCUACAAGAGCUUUAGCAGAUGAGCAGGGUCACAGCCUGCAGUCCAUUUUUAUCAGAUUCCUGAGGCGUAACAACAAAGCGCGGCUGGAGAUCAGCCGUGCAAUUGCUGCGAAGAUGAAGGACGUGGCUGGCAUCGGGUUGCUGAGCACAGCCCGCAGUACCUGGAGGCUCGGGGUGGUCGGGAGAGCGACACCGCAGCAUCUGCCUCGGCAGGAUCACUUCCUAAUCCCUCUUACGUAAGGGCUGGAGAAGGGGCUUUCAGCCGCCACCGCUGCGUGCUGGGGGCCAGAGCAGCAGCUGCCAGCCGCCGAGCACGGCCGGUUGAAAUCCUGCUGUCAGAGCACGUGCAGUUACCAAGGAAUAGGAGCAGCGAAGCAGCGGCGAGGACAAGCAGCUAUAGUCUUGUUCUGGCAGGGACCCAGUGGGGGCUGGGAGCACACGCUCGCUGGGAGCUGCCGUGCUGCUUUCUUGGCCAGCCAGUGAAUAUUUCAGGGUACCGUUGUGAUAAUAGGCGCAGGAAGCUCUGCUUUGAAAGGUCUCUUCCAAGUGACAUCCUGUUUGUUUCCUUUAUCAGGGAGGGAAGCAAUUCCAUUGAAAGAGGGCCCUAAUAAAGCUUGCUAACGCUACGUAGCGUUAUCUUUACGUUGCUGGAGUAAUCGUAUUAAGGCGCAGAGUUACCGGAUUGCUGCGCUUUUCUGUAGCUGCUUCUUGCACCUCGUGCUAGCGGUGGAAACGAGCGUGCUGAGAUGGUCGUGGCAGAGAAGCCAACUCCCCGUCCACCCUACAAGCAAAUCACCACCAGUGCGCUCUGACCGCUCGUACAACUCGGAGCAUCACACCGCACACACAGUUCUCGAGCCGAAAUGUUUCUUUUGCGUGUGUGUGUCUCCAUACUACCCGGGGAAGGAUGCCUAAAUAAACCACGGUGCGAUUUGCAUCGGUGGGGGAGGCGGUGCUCGCGGGCCGCGCGCCAAGCAUUUGACUCACACCCAUUAUUAUAUGUGUGUGCAAGUGCCUCUUUAUACUACGUAUCAAUGUAAUAUCACACUGUUCUUGGAAGCAAAUGAUUUAAAGUGAUAUACAGACAGUCUAAUGACAGUAAUUACGAUGGAGAGCCAAAAUACAGAUGCUUUCUAUCGAGGAGUGUCACAAAAGAGGUGGAAUGGAACUUUUAUAGAGGUCUUUCCCUGCCUUAGCACAGCUGCUUUUAUAGGGGGAGUUACUGACAGGGCGUUAAAAGAGAGCUUUAGCGUGAUGUAUUCAGCUGUCUUCUCUGUUUAGCUUGAAAAUUCUCCUUGCUGACGGUGUUUGUACAGCGCCUGGUGCGGUGGGCCUCCCUCGCAGGUGACAUCUCUUGGGAGACAAAUCGGGAACGAUCAGUGGUUGGCGUGGUGUGGCAGUGGGAUAAAAGUGGGCUGGAUCAGAUCGCUUGAGGGGAGUCGUGCCCGAGGCUGGGCUGGGAGGAAAGGUGGGGUGCUGGAGCCGUUUGUGACGAACGUCGGGUGGUUGCUCUCUCGGUCUUCACGAACUGAACAAACUUGGGAAGCGAAAGCGCCCAGACUGAAUUAAAUCAGUGGUAAGUGUUGGUGCACAAAAGGGAGAACUCGGAUUUCUCUAAUCUGCCUUUUCUGCUCAGUCAAGGCUACCUGUGACCCCGGUGACAUUAUACACACGAUCCGGGGAUAUGUGGGCUGUCAGUGCUGCAGUUCUUCAACCUACGCGUUUUCAGAUCACAGCCUAUGGAUGGCUGGCAUUUCAUCUGAGACACCUCGGUUGGAAGUGUGCUUGCUCCCGGCUCUCUUCACAGAUGACAGGAGAAGGAAUAAGUUCAGAUCAGCUACAUUCACAAUCGGAAGAGCCUGUUCUUUGGUGCCAGGAGGACUGCUCUGAAUGUGGCUCAUUUACGUAGGCGCCUCCAGCCAGGUUUGAAUCUGCUCCUUCUGGGCCCACAAGUGGCAAAGUCCUGGUCUCCGGGGAGAAAAGAGGUGUUUUCUUUCCAAAACCCUCUUUUGGAACUCAAAAGCCUUGUAAAAAAUGUAGCUGGUACAUUCUCCUAAAACUAAGGAAGAUGUUUUUGCCCAAUUAUAUUUUAGCACUUCAGAGCAAGAAUCAUGCUCCCGUUUUAAAAUCACCCUAGAUGCUGAGAGUGCCUUUGCUUUGAAGGCUGAUGAUUGAAGGGUGUUUAAAGAAAAUUGGAAGAACUGUAGCAGUUAAACUUGCUGGGAACUUUGGCAGAAUAACAGAUAAAUCUCAAGAAAAUGCUAGAAGAGUUGUGUUUAACAAACCUUAGGAAAGCUCAGGUCUCCGAGAGUUCCAGCUUCUGCGCGUACUAAAGCGGGCUGUUGCUAAAGCUGAAGUCUGUGUCCAGAGCUGAGCUGAGACAGAUCAGGCAGCUCCCAGGCUAAUUACUGUGGAGUGGCUGCAAAGACCGAUUAGUUUCUCGUUGAUGUGGGAACCUGAAAGGUGUGGGAUAUAUCUUUAUCAGAAUGAAGACGUGGCAGCUUUUGGAGUCUUCCUGUAUGAGUUGGCGUUGCAAAAAAAGCUCAUUUUAGUUUGGUCUACGGUUUAUAUAAAGCAUCUGGAUUUUUUUUUCUUUUUUUUAAGUAUAACCCAGAAGUUCUGCAUAUGGAAACAAAUUUAAGACAGCUGCAACACCCUUUUCAUGAAUCCUCAUCAUGUAAAUCACAUUUGGAAGAUACGCGCAGCCCAGGCCCUCCUUAUACCUGUGUUUUGGACCACCGCUGGGCUGAAGGUUUCAUACAGUUUCUCCACAUUGGGGUUAAUUUUGAGAUGAGAAAGUAUUUUGAUAUCCCUAAAAGAAGCAGAAUCAGUAACACCCCAGUCCUCAGGUCCGGGGGUGAUACGGCUUUGUCGAGAGAUGAGAGCAAUCUCUUCGGGAAGAAACCAGUGAUAAGAAAAUAGCAACGAUCCGAUUCUGUAUAGGUAACCUUUUCGACACCACAACGGAUAAUCUGAUCGAUGCACACCCAGAUUUUUCUGUUUAACCUUCACGCCGGUGAUGGUAGCGGUUAUAAAACAUCCUCUCCUUUGAGUAAUGUUCCUGCAAGAUCGGUGCGAGAACUUCAGCCUCCUGCGGGACGUGGACGUCCGUACAGCUUUCCCUUCGAGUUUGUGUUGUUCCACGCGUUUUCCAUGUACCCUCAAGUAACGAAACCACCAGGUUGUUUCACCGGUUCUCAUCUUAAUUAGAGAUGAUUUCUCUCCAUAUCUAAUAAGGUAUUUAAUUAGGAUGGUAGCCACUCUACCUGAAGACGUUCUCUUGCCUUUGUUUUUUCCUUGGCCAUUGUACUUUCCCACAUGAUUGUGUGCUUGUGUUUCAUCUUAAGCUAUGCAGAGGUGGGUGAACACAGCUGGAUGACUCUUCCCCUCCGUGGGGACCGUGGUGGCAUCUCUCCUUCCCGAACCCAGGGGGCUCGAUGAGCGUUUGACUGGUAGAAGUGUCCUGCUCUUGUGCUUCUGCAGACCCACUUUUCCUUUCCUGGCUGCUGUUUCUCUGUUUAGAGACCUGUAGUGCAAAUGGCCAGGCAUACACAGCCGUAAUUAAAAAGUCCUGGCUGGAUCUAGCAGGAAAAAGAGCAGGAUACGUAGCCCAUUUCUGCAUGCGUAGCAGGGAGAAGCUGUUCCUCGAGCAAGCUGGAGUUGCCCUCCGUGGUCCCAGCGUGAUGGCUCUCGAGCGGUUUUGUAGUGCUGAUUGCUGGAUGGAGGCAUGCUCUCCUUGCUUUCCCUACCACCUCAAUCUCAAAACGGAUUAGUUUGCUGAUUUCCAGGAUGAGGGUCUGCACACUGUGAUUUCGCAACCACUGCCCUUGGGGACAAUAUUUUAUUUUUUUUUUAAAAAAGUCACCUUUUGACCGGCACUCUAUUGAUGUCUCAGCAGUUAAGAUGAGUGAAUUGAUCAAGAAAUUCACCCUCUUAGACACAGAAAGCGUCGGUCCUUUCAGGUCAGGGCUAAGGGAAAAUCUUACGCGGCCCUCCUCCGUGCAAACUGCCACUUCUGCACCUUUCAACAGCACUAAAUUCACUUUAAGAAACGUAGGGGAAAAGUCUAGAAGGUCUUACCUGCAACAUCUAUCGAUCAGCAGAGAGUUUGAGUGGGCUUCCUGCGAUUCGAGGGAGAGAUUGCUAUAGCCUUCACCAUUGUGUUUCAUUUUCCUUUGUGUAUUUUAGGUGCAUCUUUUUUUUUUUUUUUCCCCUCCUUUGAAACUAUUUGGCCUUUGAGUGUUUCAACUGAAGUGCUAUUACCGAGUGGGAUGUUUCUUUUUUCAAACUAUUUAAAGAUUUCUUUCAUUUUUAAAACCCCUGAAGCCUGUUUCUCGGAAGCUGUCAAAACCCCACAGAUGUGGUGUGUUUUCCCAGCACCUGAGAAAUCAGGCUGCCAGCCUUCCCCACCCACAAACGAUGUACUUUUAGGAAUGACCGUGUCUUCUCGAAAACUGUGGAAUAUAUUGAAUGUGCACUGCGAACCUUAAAAAAAAAAAGUCUUUCCUUCCUUCAUGGCUUGGAGUUGUCUGCAUAGGGCGGGGGCAGCGAUGCCCCCACGCCGUGUGUCCGUAUCGUAACACUUCAGCAAUGAAAUCAGCGUUUUGUAAAUUUUGAAGAUUGCGUUGGUGUUUACUUACUGUGACUACUGUUCAGACUUUCUUCAGAAAUCUUUUUAUAGGGUUUAUUAGAAAAAAAAAAAGAAAAAAAGAAAAUCAUUCCAUAUUUAGGUAAAAAUGUCUCAAUCUUCUGUAUAUAUGUUUUAUUAAUAUGUAAAUAUUUAGAUAUUUUUAAAUUCCUAUGUUCUUAAUAAAGCGACAAGGGACUAGUUGUGAUAUGGUGUAUAACAUUGUGUCGUGUUAUCGAUCUCUGGGAAACCCUCUUUGUCAGUCCAGAAAAGAAAACCUACAAUAAAUAACUUUAAUUG